AGUGAACGCUGGCGGCGUGCUUAACACAUGCAAGUCGAACGAGAACGGAUUAUAGCUUGCUAUAAUUGUCAGCUAAGUGGCGCACGGGUGAGUGAUGUAUAGGUAAUAUGCCUCUUACUAAGGGAUAACAAAUGGAAACGUUUGCUAAUACCUUAUACUCCUUAUUAACAUAAGUUAAUAAGGGAAAGAUUUAUUGGUAAGAGAUUAGCCUGUAUUGUAUCAGUUAGUUGGUGGGGUAAUGGCUUACCAAGACUAUGACACAUAACUGGUUUGAGAGGAUGAUCAGUCACACUGGAACUGAGACACGGUCCAGACUCCUACGGGAGGCAGCAGUGGGGAAUAUUGCACAAUGGACGAAAGUCUGAUGCAGCAACGCCGCGUGGAGGAUGACACAUUUCGGUGCGUAAACUCCUUUUAUAUGAGAAGGUAAUGACGGUAUUAUAUGAAUAAGCACCGGCUAACUCCGUGCCAGCAGCCGCGGUAA
rnacentral:rRNA from 1 species